UUAGCACUUAGCUAGGUGUUGUUAGCAUGUUUUAGCACUUAGCUAGGUGUUGUUAGGAUUUUAGCAUGAUGUUAGCAUUUCUCUAGCAUGUUUUAGCACUUAGCUAGGUGUUGUUAGCAUGUUUUAGCACUUAGCUAGGUGUUGUUAGCAUAUUUUAGCACUUAGCUAGGCAUUGCUAGCAUGUUUUAGCACUUAGCUAGGUGUUGUUAGCAUGUUUUAGCACUUAGCUAGGUGUUGUUAGCAUGUUUUAGCACUUAGCUAGGUGUUGUUAGGAUUUUAGCAUGAUGUUAGCAUUUCUCUAGCAUGUUUUAGCACUUAGCUAGGUGUUGUUAGCAUGUUUUAGCACUUAGCUAGGUGUUGUUAGCAUAUUUUAGCACUUAGCUAGGCAUUGCUAGCAUGUUUUAGCACUUAGCUAGGUGUUGUUAGCAUGUUUUAGCACUUAGCUAGGUGUUGUUAGCAUGUUUUAGCACUUAGCUAGGUGUUGUUAGGAUUUUAGCAUGAUGUUAGCAUUUCUCUAGCAUGUUUUAGCACUUAGCUAGGUGUUGUUAGCAUGUUUUAGCACUUAGCUAGGUGUUGUUAGCAUAUUUUAGCACUUAGCUAGGCAUUGCUAGCAUGUUUUAGCACUUAGCUAGGUGUUGUUAGCAUGUUUUAGCACUUAGCUAGGUGUUGUUAGCAUGUUUUAGCACUUAGCUAGGUGUUGUUAGGAUUUUAGCAUGAUGUUAGCAUUUCUCUAGCAUGUUUUAGCACUUAGCUAGGUGUUGUUAGCAUGUUUUAGCACUUAGCUAGGUGUUGUUAGCAUAUUUUAGCACUUAGCUA